rnacentral:tRNA from 1 species
CCGCCCAUAGCUCAGCCUGGUAGAGCAUCGGCCUUUUAAGCCGUUGGUCGGAGGUUCGAAUCCUCCUGGGCGGA